GGAAGGGUGGCCGAGUGGUUUAAGGCUCUAGUCUUGAAAACUAGCGAGCUCGAAAGGGCUCCGUGGGUUCGAAUCCCACCCCUUCCGCCA
rnacentral:tRNA from 1 species